rnacentral:lncRNA from 1 species
CCUCAGGCCAGGGCAGCCCCCGCCAGCGCCAGCCGGCCUGGCUCCGAUCUGCCCAGGCGCUCCCUCCCGCGCCCAGCUUCCCUGGCCAGAGCCAGGGCUCAGGCUGAGCAGCGGCUGGGGGAGGAGGGACCGGGACACUGUCCCCUGGCCCAUGGUGCCUUCCCAGCUCCACUUUGACCUGUCUGAAGGUCCCCGUGGUGUCCCCUCCUCUCCGAGAAGGGUCAUUCAACUUCCUGGAGAGGGCAAGCUUCCCAGUCAGUACCUGGCUUGGGGAGCGAAGUCCCUGGUAGAGGAGCAGGCCCUCGUCCUGUCUCUGCCAUCGUUAACAGCCACAAUUAUUGUUAUUUGGAGAGACAAGCCAGAGGUGGGGAGGGACGCGCUGGGGUGACUGAAAUGAAGUCCUCUGUACGCACCGUCUCGCCAGGUUAAUACUCCUGCCUGUCGGCCUGACAGCUGCAAGAUUGAUUACCCGGCCUCCCGCUCUUUAUAACUCGAUCAGUCGAAUUAAUCUCUGGCUGUCGGCCCAUCUGAUGCCUGAAUCACAAAUUUAAUUUGGAGGUGCCGCUCCUCCCCCAUGCCGUCCCUCCCCUCCCCUCCCCUCCUCCUGGUGGCCCCCUGGCUUCCGGGUCUCCUGCUCCUCCUGCCCUUCCUUCCCUCUGCAGCCUCCUGGCCACAGGGAGCAGUGUCAGGAGCAGGAGGAGGGAGUCACUGAGCCAGCAGCCCCCGGGCCCAGACCAGGGAGGGGUCACGCCCCCCACCCCGGCCAGGCGCCCACCAACUGGCUCCACCCCAAGCGGAGCAAGAGGCACGGCUGACACUAACCAUCCAGACACCUGCGGAGGAAACUGCGGGCAGCUGGGGGCCUGCCGGAGCAGACGGUCUGGGCUCUCCGCGCGCUGGCGGUCAGGACCAAGGACAGCGGUCCGCCCUCCGAGCAUCUCUGAAGUUCCAGGCCUCUCUGCCCAGCCCUCUUCUUUUGCUGCCACACGCACUUCCCGAUUCUCUCAGCGCGCUCUUUUUUAUUUUCCUUCUCUUUCCGUUCCUCUUAUCCCUCCCCUCUUGUUCCUCCUCCUCCUCCUCUUCGUCUCGCUCCUUGUCCCUAAUCUCAUGACACAGCCUGGCUUCCUGUCCUUCAGCACAGGCCUCUGUCAGGAGCCUUUUCCUGUGACUGAUGCUUCCCUACACCAUGCAAGAACACACGUACCCACACUGAGACCUAGUGUUUUAGUUUUAGGUUUUUUGGGGGUUUUUUUGGUACUGGGGAUCGAACUCAGGUCCUUGAGCUUGCAAGGCAGGCGGCGGAACCACUGAGCUAAAUCCCCAGCAGAGACCUAAUGUUGAGGAGGAAGGAAGGCCAGGGUGAUUCGUUUUGAAAGACUGGACAACUCCCCUCUAGGGGCGGGCUGGGAUCAGCCUGCCUUACCUACUCCCAGCCUGACUACGGCCCUAAUGUCACCCUCUCCUCCUUCCCCACCCUUCCAGCUCUUCCCCUCCCCACCCGGUGUGUCGCUAUGGAAAGUGGCAGCAGCUGCUGGAGAAGGCAUACCCUUCACGAGCAUCAGCAAUUGCAGUGACUGAACGUCCCAGCCUUCUCUCCCAGUUAAUCUAACUUGGGAAGAAUUGAGGUGUAUUCUGGCUCUGCUGCCCAUGAAAGGCAGAGAAUAACAAGCCAGAGGCAUAAACAGAUGUGCAGAUAUCUGCAGCUGGCUCUUCCCUGCCAAAUUACCAUGGACAGAACCCUGGCAGGAGGCCAGGAUGCCUCCCUCUGUUUGGAGUUCAGCCACUGGGACCCAUCCAAGUUCACCAUCCAUUUGGCAACCUCUGAGUGAGGGGAGGAGAUGCCAAGGAAGGGAGUGGAGAGGCUGCAGGCAGCCUUGGGUUUGGAAAAGGCUCCGGAGGCUUCUCAUGAAGACUUGGGUGGGCGGAGGUAACAGGGUGGGGGAAGAACAGGAAGUUCUGACCAGGCCCUUCCUGGACAUUCCCUGGAGUCAUCUUCCCAGGGUUGGACUGACUGGGAGUGACCUCAGGGUGGAUUCUUACAGCACUGCAUGGGCCUCUCACUCAGAGAUUGGGCAUUCCUGGAUCUGUGAUUAUAGUGGCUUCCAGUUGGUAUGGAGUGCAGGGAGUAGGGAGCAACUGGAAGAGGGCCAGUCAGGUGUCCCUAAAGACUCCAGCCCUGGAACAAGAGAUGGGGAAGAAGCUGGUUGGGACUGUUGUGAAACCAGGGGACAAAGCAGGGGCCAGGGGAGAAAGCAUGAGCUGCAAGAAGUGUUGCCCAAGCAGCCUGUAUUUAUUGAUACCCCAGAUCUGAACUAGAGACAUCAAGCCACUUCUGAGCUCCCUUCAGAUAGAUCCAAAAGAAUCUUUUCUCUUUAUUAACUUGACUUUCUCAUCAAGUCUAUCCACAUAGGUUGGGGUGGCAUGGAGCAGUUUUCCUGAGCUAACGGGCACGGCUCACGGCAGACCAUGAAGGGACUGGAUUCUGUGAGCAAUGGGGAACUGCAGAGCCAUGUGGGAAUAGUGGUGGCCUCAAAGGAGGAGACUGGCCACAGAGUGAGGGGGGCGUAGAGGCCAGGUGAGAAGCAAGAUGGGGAGCCUAAUUUGGAGCCUGCUGUUGUCAUUCAAGUCUCAUGAUGGGACCCUGAGCUACACAGUGGGGAAGCAGAGGAGGGAUGAACAAAGGAAGAAUUGGUGGGGCUUGAUAGUGUAUUUAACAGGAAUCUGAGACAGAGAGAGACAGUGUGGCCAUAUACAUUACUGCCAGUCCAGAACAGUUUGAGUAUGAACAACAUCCAACCAGUAGUUUUACCAGAACUGGACAAUCCACACAAAUCUAGGUACAUAGACACUUUGGUUAAAAUGACCCAAAGCAUGGCACUUCCGGUGAUAGCAUUUAUAGGGAAGCUGCUGACCAAAGCAAGGAGGGGAGGAAGCAAGUGUCGGGGUGGGAGAAGACAGGGUGAGAGGCCUGGCCUGGGCAUGUUGAGGGGGAGCGUGGAGACACUGGCCUGCAAGGAACCAGGAGGCCACCCUUUGCCCAGCCUCCGUGAGUGGUAACUUGGAAAUGAACAAGAAGUCGGAAUUUGACAUAUAAUGCGUAUCUUUUGACCCACUAAUGCCACUUCUAGAAGUCUGAAUCUCAGAAAUACCCACUCUUCUGCAAAAUGGUGUCAUCUUGGAAGGCUUCCUGUGGCGUGGAUUGUAACUCUUGGAAGAAAUCUGCAGACCCCAGGAAGGGAGACCUGUCUUCCUGGUUCCCCUGUGGAGUUGCGCACCCGUGCAUUGAGCUCCACUCAUGUUACUGACCUGGGAAAACCUCUGACAUUUUUGAUUGAAAAGAGGAAAAUCCAAAAUAAUAGAAUGGCCUGCCAAAGCUAGAUAAUCAUUUUUCAAAUGCCUUUGUGGGGGCUGAGGGGUGAAUAUGUAAAAGGCCUGGAUCCACUGGAUUCUCAAGGGCAGUGAUUAUGGAGCAGAGGGUGGGACUGCAGGGGAGGAAGGAGAGCUCUCCACAAGCUUCUGAAUUGUUUGAGAAAUCUGUACAAGCAUACAGCUCAGGCCACAUUUGAAAAGGAUGCUAAACAGGAUUUUAAAAAGACAAACUGAGGAUUCCCUCGGUGAUGGGUGAAGGUCUAGGUGUGGGCGACAGCAGAGAUGGGCUAAAGCUUGAGACCCAUCCCCAUGAAGAGGCGGCCAUGAGAGCAGGGCAGGGCCAGGGGUGACGCCCAGAGCGUCAGAGUUGGCUUCUGACUCCCCAGACUGGGGAGAUGGGCUCCGCUCCACCAACCUGGCCACUGCAGCCCUUCCCUCCCGGACCCAACCCUGCCUCCGGAACUGAGCCUGCAGGAAGCCCAGCUCCCUCUCUGCCGGAUGUAUCUGAGCAGAUGCACAGCUACCCAGACUCUGCUGCCAGAGAAAAGCCCAAGCCCGCGGCGACAGCCCGGAACCCGCUCCCACCAGGCACCGAUGUCGGUUCUCUCCCCCCGGCUGGGCCUUCUCCAGGUGAGGAAGGAGCGUAGCAGCCAGAGAUGACUCGUCCUCCAGAGUGAGGCGCUGAGGCGCGUGUGCGCGUGCCUGCGCUGGUGUGUGCUCCGUGGGUGACUCAGAGGCUCUGCCCCUGGGAGAGGGGGCCUGACGGGCGGGUGUGGGGCUCCUCAAGGUGACUUCCGGACAGGCCUGUCAGCUCCUUCCACUCCUGCCCCUCAGCAGUGCGUCCGGGAGCUGCCAGGCUUCUCAGCUGUCCACACCUCUGGGGCCGGGUCUCCCUCCUUGCCCAGCGCCCCUCCCCCCAGCAAGCCCUUGCCAGGGCCCACUUCCGGUCUUGGCGCUCACUUUCCUGCACUGCUAGGCGGUUUUCUUCACCUCUGAACGGAAAGGCAUGAAGUCAGCUUUUCUGUCGGGGUGCCCCGGCCCUGGGCUCUUUAACCACAGCAAAUUUUGUAGAUGAUUGGGACCCCAGGGAUACGCACAGUACAAGGGGCAAGGAGACUGCGCGUGUGUGCGCGUGUGCGUGUGCGUGCCUGCGGGGCGUUCGGAGCGGGAGCUGCCGCGGACGAGCUGUCCCUGCAGGCCCAGGACUGGGGACCACAGGGGACUGGGUCGUCUUCAGGUCACCCUCCCCUCUGCAGCCGCUGAGUGAGGCCCUGAGGUCCGGAGAGGACACGUGGCUUAGUGGGCCGCGAAGCCAGCUGGGCUGAAGGACGACUGGAGCUGGAGCGAGGCUGCGCCCUUAAUUCUGUCAGGGACCUUGGAGCAAGGGUCCUCUGUCUCGGCCCUAUAAAGAGGUCAGCAACUUCCUCAAAGCGGGGCGCUAGAGCCUGCCGGCCGCCCCUAAGAGAGGCCGACAGCUCGCCUGCCCUCCUGGCCGCCGGUCCCGCCCGAGCCGCUCGGCGCUGGGUGCUCCUCUCCUGACCCGGGUCCAGCCGGCCUCACGCGAGGCAAGUCCCGCCCUCGCGGGGCCACGGCUUGUUCUCCUCCCCCGAAUCCGGACCCCUUCAGAUCGCUCUGCCCACUCCGGCCUGCAGGAGCCCGCAGCGCAGCUCCACUCCUGCUCCCCGUCUGGGCUCCGUCUGCCCGGUCCCUCCCCGGCCCCGGCCCGGCCCGGCCCCCAGGCCCUCGCCCUCGCAGAACCGUGCGCGCGGCCGGGCGGGCGCGCGGCCGGGCGGGCGGGCGGGUUGAUUAUUGCUCCUCCGCCCCCCGCAAGAUGUAUCUGACUGUCAGGGGUGACAGAUGAAGACGAAGUGCAGGUGCGGCUCCGCGUCCUGCCGGGUUAACCCCUCCGCCGCCGGGGGGCGCUGAGCGGAGCGCGUGCGCGUGCGCGUGCCCCGCUGAGGCCACAGCCUCGCCUUCCCUCCCUGGCGUCCUUUUCCCCUUGCCUCCUCCCGCCACCGGCAAACGAGGUGAAAUAAUUACUCUCCAUUUAAACGCCCCACGUUUAAGCCAGAAUGAAAACAAAGUGAUUUAAUGAAAUUGUCUUUAAAAAAGAAAAUAAACGUCUGCUCCGCUGCCCUCCCUGGCCUGCAGGGAGGCCCCAAGCCCUUCAAAGUUAAUUAAAACAGGAACUAAAAUCACAUAAUCACUUGAGAGCCCUUCCGUCUCUGUCUGCAAGGUAAGGCAGCCCCAGGCCCGCCUCAGCCCGACCCUGAGGGCUCCCCUGCCUGCCUGUCCCUGGGGGACCCCUGCCCUUCCCGCAGACACCCGCGCGAGGGUCUGACCUCCCACUCCCGAGUCAUCAAAGGCCCGUGCUGGAGCCUGGUCGUCUCCGGGAGCCGCCUCCCCCUCUCAGGACGCGCCCAGCCUCGGCCCCCUGCGGCCCUCCCCGCAUGCGAGCCGCCGCUGCUCUGAGCUUUAUCUGUCUUCGCUGACCCCUGGCCUGGUCCUCAGCUCCCGCUCAGCACAGUUCCAGCUGCUUCCGCCUGGUCUGUGUCUGUUCCCCAUCAGAGGCCCCGCUGGAGCGCCAGCCCUUCAGCAGCCCAGAUAAAAGAGAUGGAUAGAGAUUUUUCCAAUCAAGGAAAAACUCGAAGGUCCUGGCCCGGCCUGCCUGUCACCGCCAGAAGUAUCCACCAGAUGGCACUCUUUCCACACUUCCUGUACUUCCAAGAGUUGCCAGAGAUGUCGCUUUGGGGCUGGGGCGCGACGUUGGCGGAGCCAGGUGUGCGGGCGCCUCCCUACUCCCCCUUCCCCCAGCGUCACGAGUGUCCUAGUGUCCUCCGUCCCCAGAGUCUGCGGUCUGGGCUUCUCCGAAGGCGAAGGCGGGGUCGUCCUCUCCAGCCGAGCCUCGGGCUUCUGUCGCCGAGCCGCCCCGCCUGGGGGCUCUGGCUCCGCCCAGUCCUAAACCGCCGGCCCGGGCUCCGUCUCGGGCUCCUUCUCCGCGUCGGUUCGGCGUGCGGCUGAAGGACUCGCUUCCCCACGAGGCCCGGGCGUGUCAGCCGGGGUCACGGGCACACACGUGUACCCACGGCCCCUCAUCUCACCCCUCACAGUGCCCCUGCGCCGAGUGGGGACGCCCAGCCCGGGACCGCCAGACUUGGGGGGAGGAGCCAGCAGGCCUCGAGGCCCGCGAAGCCUGGGCUCCGGAGGGGCGGCUUCUUCUUGGGGGCCUCUGCUCGAUAGGGGCGGCUUCCCGUCCUGUCUGCCCCAUCGAUCGGGCCUGGACUCCUGAUGGACACCCUAGGGCGUCUUGGGGAAGCCGCCUGAGGCCCUGGAGGCGGGGCGGCGGGGCGGGGCGGGGCGGACUCGUCCCGGCUAGGUCCUGG